rnacentral:rRNA from 1 species
AUGUGCCAUGGCAAGUAUACUAGAAAGAAAGAGAAAGAUGGAGAAGAUUUUGACCGAUUGAUGCAUGAGCACUCAAAAGCUGCAUCCCUUGCCUGCCUGCAUCCACACACAUGCUAUAUUCGUUUCUUUGUAGUCGAGAUGCAGCUGGGGGUGACAAAAUUUCCAGUGGGCAAAUGGGUUCUUGACAGGAUUGGUCAUGCCCUUUCCCACUGCUCCACGGAAAGACCCAUCGGUGCUGGGAUCAUAUAUCACUUCCCUGCCAGUGCCACAACACAAGCUCUCGAACAUUUCAUUUAUGUUACCAUAAAAAGGACCCUUUGCAUCCGUGCCUCCUUUCUUUUGCUUGGCUUUAUAUGGAUAGCAUGGAUAUGCUCUUUAUGGGUGGCUUGGGGACCAUUUUUAUUCCCAUCAGACCUUUGUACUUCAACUGGGGCCCCCUCUCCUUUUAUUUGA